GAUCCUGGCUCAGGAUGAACGCUGGCGGCGUGCUUAACACAUGCAAGUCGAACGAAGCACUUUAUUUGAAACCUUCGGGUAGAUUAUUCUGUGACUUAGUGGCGGACGGGUGAGUAACGCGUGGGUAACCUGCCUCAUACACCGGGAUAACAGUUGGAAACGGCUGCUAAUACCGGAUAAGCAUACAGUACCGCAUGGUACAGUGUGAAAAACUCAGGUGGUAUGAGAUGGACCCGCGUCUGAUUAGCUAGUUGGUAAGGUAACGGCUUACCAAGGCGACGAUCAGUAGCCGACUUGAGAGAGUGAUCGGCCACAUUGGGACUGAGACACGGCCCAAACUCCUACGGGAGGCAGCAGUGGGGAAUAUUGCACAAUGGGGGAAACCCUGAUGCAGCGACGCCGCGUGAAGGAUGAAGUAUUUCGGUAUGUAAACUUCUAUCAGCAAGGAAGAAAAUGACGGUACUUGACUAAGAAGCCCCGGCUAAAUACGUGCC
rnacentral:rRNA from 1 species